rnacentral:rRNA from 1 species
UACGUAGGGCGCGAGCGUUGUCCGGAAUUUAUUGGGCGUAAAAGAGCUCGUAGGCGGUUUGUCGCGUCUGCCGUGAAAGUCCGGGGCUCAACUCCGGAUCUGCGGUGGGUACGGGCAGACUAGAGUGAUGUAGGGGAGACUGGAAUUCCUGGUGUAGCGGUGGAAUGCGCAGAUAUCAGGAGGAACACCAAUGGCGAAGGCAGAUCUCUGGGCCGUAACUGACGCUGAGGAGCGAAAGCAUGGGGAGCGAACAGG